rnacentral:rRNA from 1 species
AGAGUUUGAUCCUGGCUCAGAGCGAACGUUAGCGGCGGGCUUAACACAUGCAAGUCGAGCGAGAACGGGACUUUCGGGUCCUUAUUAAAGCGGCGCACGGGUGAGUAACACGUGGGUAAUCUGCCCUUUGGCGGGGGACAACCACUCGAAAGGGUGGCUAAUACCGCAUAAGUCAUUCGGGACUGCGGUCCUGAAUGGGAAAGCUGGCCUCUUCUUGAAAGCCGGCACCAAAGGAGGAGCCCGCGGCGCAUCAGCUUGUUGGUGGGGUAACGGCCUACCAAGGCAAAGACGCGUAGCUGGUCUGAGAGGAUGAUCAGCCACACUGGGACUGAGACACGGCCCAGACUCCUACGGGAGGCAGCAGUGGGGAAUAUUGGACAAUGGGCGAAAGCCUGAUCCAGCCACGCCGCGUGAGUGAUGAAGGCCCUCGGGUCGUAAAGCUCUGUGGAGAGGGACGAACGCCUGUCGGUUAAUACCCGGCAGUUUGACGGUACCUCUUUAGCAAGCACCGCUAACU